UAGGAUUGGGGUUAGGGUUAGGGUUAGGGUUAGGGCUUAGGAGGGUAGGUGCUAACCUAUGUGCACAGGCCAUCAGUGUUGCUCACUCAACUGGAUUCACUUCUCAUUCAGGCCUUGGGGAUAUGUAGUGCCUAAUUUAUUAAUCCAAAUUCUCUCUGCCCUUUUUCUCUGAAGCACGGACCACUGCAGGUUGGCCUCCAGGACCGUGACCCGGAAGGACCCCCAUCCGUGGCUCAGGAAGUGCUGUACCAGAUAAGUGUUCUUUUCUCUUUCUCUUAGGAUAUUGUAUUUAUGUUGUGUCAUUCUAACCAGAAUGGUGUUGCCCGUCUCUCCCACAUAUUGGGCUCCACAUUGUUUACAGGUGACCAGAUAAAUGCAGUUUUUACUGUGUACCGUGCCUAAUCGUUUCAGAGCGGCCGAGGAGAAUGUCAGGACGAGGGGCACGCUGGUGCCCUCUGCCGGGGUCCCUCUUGUCCGGUAGGAUUUAAAAACCUUCCUCAAGAAGGACCUAUUAUAUCCUCUGGGCCUGAGUGCUUUAAAGAGGGUUUGCGUCGCUUCUGUGAAGUCCUGUUCCCGGGUGCAUAUGCGAUGGAACCUCAGGAGUUGCGACUUAAUAAGGCCGGAGUGUGAACGAACUGCCCGUGUUCUGUCCUGCACCCUCUCCCUUGGUUCCUUCGAAAAGGAUUUUUGCCAGAACAUCAAAGUACCGGGUCCUGAACGGGCCCGAGGUUCAAAAAAUUGUGGUCUGUAAGACCGCUGAUAAGGCUCACUAUGCACGGACCACUGCAGGUUGGCCUCCAGGACCGUGACCCGGAAGGACCCCCAUCCGUGGCUCAGGAAGUGCUGUACCAGAUAAGUGUUCUUUUCUCUUUCUCUUAGGAUAUUGUAUUUAUGUUGUGUCAUUCUAACCAGAAUGGUGUUGCCCGUCUCUCCCACAUAUUGGGCUCCACAUUGUUUACAGGUGACCAGAUAAAUGCAGUUUUUACUGUGUACCGUGCCUAAUCGUUUCAGAGCGGCCGAGGAGAAUGUCAGGACGAGGGGCACGCUGGUGCCCUCUGCCGGGGUCCCUCUUGUCCGGUAGGAUUUAAAAACCUUCCUCAAGAAGGACCUAUUAUAUCCUCUGGGCCUGAGUGCUUUAAAGAGGGUUUGCGUCGCUUCUGUGAAGUCCUGUUCCCGGGUGCAUAUGCGAUGGAACCUCAGGAGUUGCGACUUAAUAAGGCCGGAGUGUGAACGAACUGCCCGUGUUCUGUCCUGCACCCUCUCCCUUGGUUCCUUCGAAAAGGAUUUUUGCCAGAACAUCAAAGUACCGGGUCCUGAACGGGCCCGAGGUUCAAAAAAUUGUGGUCUGUAAGACCGCUGAUAAGGCUCACUAUGCACGGACCACUGCAGGUUGGCCUCCAGGACCGUGACCCGGAAGGACCCCCAUCCGUGGCUCAGGAAGUGCUGUACCAGAUAAGUGUUCUUUUCUCUUUCUCUUAGGAUAUUGUAUUUAUGUUGUGUCAUUCUAACCAGAAUGGUGUUGCCCGUCUCUCCCACAUAUUGGGCUCCACAUUGUUUACAGGUGACCAGAUAAAUGCAGUUUUUACUGUGUACCGUGCCUAAUCGUUUCAGAGCGGCCGAGGAGAAUGUCAGGACGAGGGGCACGCUGGUGCCCUCUGCCGGGGUCCCUCUUGUCCGGUAGGAUUUAAAAACCUUCCUCAAGAAGGACCUAUUAUAUCCUCUGGGCCUGAGUGCUUUAAAGAGGGUUUGCGUCGCUUCUGUGAAGUCCUGUUCCCGGGUGCAUAUGCGAUGGAACCUCAGGAGUUGCGACUUAAUAAGGCCGGAGUGUGAACGAACUGCCCGUGUUCUGUCCUGCACCCUCUCCCUUGGUUCCUUCGAAAAGGAUUUUUGCCAGAACAUCAAAGUACCGGGUCCUGAACGGGCCCGAGGUUCAAAAAAUUGUGGUCUGUAAGACCGCUGAUAAGGCUCACUAUGGUGAGUUAUGGUCUUUGCUGCCCUCAUGUGGCCACCAUAUUUAACUGCUUCUGCAUAGGAGAGCAUUCUCUCUCCCUGUGCAUGAUGUUGAGUAUUGUGGUACGGACGGGGCAGAGGCCAGACUGUGCCCUGAAUGGCAUGCCUGCGUUUAUGUGUGACCACCGUCCAACCAUCUCUCUGUGGCAAAGCCAUGAUUUAGGAAAUUUUUUGUGAAAAAACAAAAGCAAGGACUUGUUAAAUAAAUUGAAGUCAGGAAAGUAUAACUCAAAAUCUGUCUUGUAUGUUUUUUUGUG